CUGCGUAGUUAUUGCGAAUAUUCCUCUCUGUGCUGCCAUUGGGUACAGUCCCAAAGCGGAAUGGGGGUGAGAAGUCAUUAGGUCUCUGGAACUGGAAAGAGAGAGAAAGA
rnacentral:miRNA from 1 species